GAGAUAUGGAAAUCAAUAUUUUGGGCAUAGUUAUGUUUUUAAGGAAUAUGUUUGAGUUUGUAAACUCGCGGUAUCUUGCUGUUGGAGCUCAUCGUCCGCGAAACUGCCUACUUCCAUCGAUCAGCUGUGGAAUCUGCAGACGUUGAUCGUUGCUCAUCCAAGGAAAGUGGAUGCACCGGUUGAGAUUUGGAAGAUGACUCAACUUAGGCAUGUCAUCU
rnacentral:lncRNA from 1 species